rnacentral:rRNA from 1 species
UGAGGAAUAUUGGUCAAUGGAGGCAACUCUGAACCAGCCAUGCCGCGUGAAGGAUGAAGGUCCUCUGGAUUGUAAACUUCUUUUAUAGAAGAAGAAACCCCAGUAUUCUUAUUGGGUUGACGGUACUCUAUGAAUAAGCACCGGCUAACUCCGUGCCAGCAGCCGCGGUAAUACGGAGGGUGCAAGCGUUAUCCGGAUUCACUGGGUUUAAAGGGAGCGUAGGUGGGUCGGUAAGUCAGUGGUGAAAUCC